GAUGAACGCUGGCGGCGUGCCUAAUACAUGCAAGUCGAGCGAACGGACGAGAAGCUUGCUUCUCUGAUGUUAGCGGCGGACGGGUGAGUAACACGUGGAUAACCUACCUAUAAGACUGGGAUAACUUCGGGAAACCGGAGCUAAUACCGGAUGAUAUUUUGAACCGCAUGGUUCAAAAGUUAAAGACGGUCUUGCUGUCACUUAUAGAUGGAUCCGCGCUGCAUUAGCUAGUUGGUAAGGUAACGGCUUACCAAGGCAACGAUGCAUAGCCGACCUGAGAGGGUGAUCGGCCACACUGGAACUGAGACACGGUCCAGACUCCUACGGGAGGCAGCAGUGGGGAAUCUUCCGCAAUGGGCGAAAGCCUGACGGAGCAACGCCGCGUGAGUGAAGAAGGUCUUCGGAUCGUAAAACUCUGUUAUUAGGGAAGAACAUAUGUGGAAGUAACUGUGCACAUCUUGACGGUACCUAAUCAGAAAGCCACGGCUAACUACGUG
rnacentral:rRNA from 1 species